rnacentral:rRNA from 1 species
UACGUAGGGUGCGAGCGUUAAUCGGAAUUACUGGGCGUAAAGCGUGCGCAGGCGGUGACGUAAGACCGAUGUGAAAUCCCCGGGCUUAACCUGGGAACUGCAUUGGUGACUGCAUCGCUCGAGUAUGGCAGAGGGGGGUAGAAUUCCACGUGUAGCAGUGAAAUGCGUAGAGAUGUGGAGGAAUACCGAUGGCGAAGGCAGCCCCCUGGGUCAAUACUGACGCUCAUGCACGAAAGCGUGGGGAGCAAACAGG